AUUAUCUUUCUCACAAAUAUUAUAUUUUAAUUGAAACUUCUACAAAAUAUAUCUAGAAGAAUUUUAAUUUACAAAAAUAUUAAUAUAAUAAUUAAAUUUUUAUUUUAAAAUUUAAUCUCUUCAAUAUUAUCGAAAUCGACAUAAUCGAAUGAAUGCACAUAAUUACUAGUUACCGGACACUAUGCUAUUCUCUAUCAUUAAAAUGUGGGUCAAUUCCCCUUCGUUAAAUUUCCAAUAGAAAUACGUGACAUCAUAUUAUCUUACUACUAUUAAAUUAGAUAUACAUAUAAUAUAAUUCACCAGAAAAUAGUAGAGUAUUUAUCUCUAUCUCUCGCUCUCACAUUUCAUCUCUUCUGUCAUCAAUAUCGUUUGUUAGAAAACAAUUAAACGAUAAGUCUCCCAAUCAAAGAACUUCUCUUUAUUUGUAAUUGAUACUUUAAUUGGGAGAUCAAUGCUGUAAAAUCAUUCCAGUUCUUCGCUUAUCAUCUUUGUUACUUUUCUCAGCCAAUAUGCGUGAUAAUAGGAAAGAUGGAAUAGAAUGAGAGCGCACAUUUUAUCUAGCCAACUUCUGACGAAUGUAUACACGUCACGUGACACUCAAGCCUCAAGCCAAGCGUUACACGUGACGUGUCUAUAGCAGUGAAGAUAAUAACGUUACGUAGAGAAAUUGAAUUACGUUUAGUGGUAGUGGGAUAGCAUAGAGUCCGCAUCUAACAAUUCUGCAACUUCGAUCGUCGACUUUAGCAGUGCAGCGACAGGAGAAAAGAAUGGGUGUCGACUAUGUGUUUGAGCAUAUGUUCAACGGUUCUCUUCGGCGUAUCGCAUUUCCUAUAAUCACCCCAUCGGCCAGCAGCUGCGGCUGGUGUCAGGGGCGAUCCAUUUGUUAAUCUGCAGCAUAACGGUUCGUUACAAUCCGCAUUCGCGCCUUCUUGAUAAUAAGGAUCGUAGUGAGUAUCGGAGAUAUGAAGGACUUUGAAGGUCGGCGCACCUUCUUGGGGGGGCACUGGCGGUUUAACUGGUGGUUUAUUCACAGGUGGGAAUGCCACUUCCCACUCGUGUAGAGGAUUGUAAGUGUCGUCGCAUGCGUCACCAAUAACAAAGCUACAGAUUUGCGCUGGUCCCAUAUCGACUUGUUUGAGUACGUAAAUUACUU